GACAGGGCCUCUGUUAGUCAAAGGGAUUUGGAUUUGUCACCUUUGCAUCUGAAGACGAAGCGCAUAUUGUACUGACAAAGAUGAACGGAAGGCUUAUUUUUGCGGACUAUGUGAAACUGCCUUUCAAUUGGCAGAAAUCUUAUAGCGAGAGGACCUCCUAAAGAAGAAAACUGAUAAGUGAUUGUUCCGUCAUUUAUCAGAAAGGAAUUAGCUGAACAGGGAGGGAACCCACGUAGUAGCUGUGCAUGGAAAGUGUGAUUCAGACAUGUUCUCUCAGCAAUUUGCUUCAUGCUAGAGAUGUGCUAAAAAGCUCCAGGAAAAAGAGGGAAAAGAGAGUCAUUAGAAAGGCGAGCGAAUGGCAUCACAUGCACGCAAUUGUCGCAAGAGAGAGCCUUGGGUGUUAGGGAGCAAAUUUUAAUUACCAUCAAGAAUACGAAUGAUCUUUUCCUUUAUUAUCUAUCAAGUCAGCAUUUUUUUAAAUGACGUUUUUAUAAAGAGAAUAGUGUUGUAGUCGUAGUUUUAUAAUAUAUUUGUUGUUUUAUAAGG